AGUGAACGCUGGCGGUAGGCCUAACACAUGCAAGUCGAACGGCAGCACAGUAAGAGCUUGCUCUUACGGGUGGCGAGUGGCGGACGGGUGAGGAAUACAUCGGAAUCUACCUUUUCGUGGGGGAUAACGUAGGGAAACUUACGCUAAUACCGCAUACGACCUACGGGUGAAAGCAGGGGAUCUUCGGACCUUGCGCGAUUGAAUGAGCCGAUGUCGGAUUAGCUAGUUGGCGGGGUAAAGGCCCACCAAGGCGACGAUCCGUAGCUGGUCUGAGAGGAUGAUCAGCCACACUGGAACUGAGACACGGUCCAGACUCCUACGGGGGGCAGCAGUGGGGAAUAUUGGACAAUGGGCGCAAGCCUGAUCCAGCCAUACCGCGUGGGUGAAGAAGGCCUUCGGGUUGUAAAGCCCUUUUGUUGGGAAAGAAAAGCAGCAGGUUAAUACCCCGCUGUUCUGACGGUACCCAAAGAAUAAGCACCGGCUAACUUCGU
rnacentral:rRNA from 1 species